rnacentral:rRNA from 1 species
GACGAACGCUGGCGGCGUGCCUAAUACAUGCAAGUAGAACGCUGAAGGAGGAGCUUGCUCUUCUGGAUGAGUUGCGAACGGGUGAGUAACGCGUAGGUAACCUGCCUGGUAGCGGGGGAUAACUAUUGGAAACGAUAGCUAAUACCGCAUAAGAGUAGAUGUUGCAUGACAUUUACUUAAAAGGUGCAAUUGCAUCACUACCAGAUGGACCUGCGUUGUAUUAGCUAGUUGGUGGGGUAACGGCUUACCAAGGCGACGAUACAUAGCCGACCUGAGAGGGUGAUCGGCCACACUGGGACUGAGACACGGCCCAGACUCCUACAGGAGGCAGCAGUAGGGAAUCUUCGGCAAUGGACGGAAGUCUGACCGAGCAACGCCGCGUGAGUGAAGAAGGUUUUCGGAUCGUAAAGCUCUGUUGUAAGAGAAGAACGAGUGUGAGAGUGGAAAGUUCACACUGUGACGGUAUCUUACCAGAAAGGGACGGCUAACUACGUG